GACGAACGCUGGCGGCGUGCUUAACACAUGCAAGUCGAGCGGUAAGGCCCUUUCGGGGGUACACGAGCGGCGAACGGGUGAGUAACACGUGGGUGACCUGCCCUCAGCUCUGGGAUAAGCCUGGGAAACUGGGUCUAAUACUGGAUAUGACUCCACGGUGCAUGUCGUGGGGUGGAAAGCCUUGCGCGGCUGAGGAUGGGCCCGCGGCCUAUCAGCUUGUUGGUGGGGUGAUGGCCUACCAAGGCGACGACGGGUAGCCGGCCUGAGAGGGCGACCGGCCACACUGGGGCUGAGACACGGCCCAGACUCCUACGGGAGGCAGCAGUGGGGAAUCUUGCGCAAUGGGCGAAAGCCUGACGCAGCGACGCCGCGUGAGGGAUGACGGCCU
rnacentral:rRNA from 1 species